UACAGAGACUGCAAGCGUUAUUCGGAUUCACUGGGCGUAAAGGGUGCGCAGGCGGUCGGGUGUGUCAGAUGUGAAAUCCCGAGGCUCAACCUCGGAACUGCGUCUGAAACUACUCGACUAGAGUACUGGAGAGGGUAACGGAAUUCACGGUGUAGCAGUGAAAUGCGUAGAUAUCGUGAGGAACACCUGUGGCGAAGGCGGCCCUCUGGUCCAGUACUGACACUCAAGUGCGAAAGCGUGGGGAGCAAACAGG
rnacentral:rRNA from 1 species